rnacentral:rRNA from 1 species
UACGGGGGGGCAAGCGUUGUUCGGAAUUACUGGGCGUAAAGGGCUCGUAGGUGGCCAACUAAGUCGGACGUGAAAUCCCUCAGCUUAACUGGGGAACUGCGUCCGAUACUGGAUGGCUUGAGUUUGGGAGAGGGAUGCGGAAUUCCAGGUGUAGCGGUGAAAUGCGUAGAUAUCUGGAGGAACACCGGUGGCGAAGGCGGCAAUCCUGGACCAACACUGACACUGAGGAGCGAAAGCCAGGGGAGCAAACGGG